CCUGGUGAAAUUAGCGCUGUGGUCCCACCCGUUCCCAUCCCGAACACGGAAGUGAAACGCAGCUGCGCCGAUGGUAGUGUGGCUUAAGCCAUGCAAGAGUAGGUCAUCGCCAGGG
rfam:Pseudoxanthomonas spadix BD-a59, complete genome.